UUUUUUUAUCAUAUUAUAUAAUAGAUUGAUUCUAUCUAUUGAAAAUGGCUAUAAAGAUAAUUUUACAUGUAAGUUUUUGUGUGUUGUUAUUAUGUUUCUUAAAGAUGUUUAAUUUUUAGUAUUCACAGUUUAUAAUUUUAUUGAUAUAAAUUAUUUUAGUAUUAGUUAAUUUUUAUUAAGGUGGUUAAAAAUUGUGCCAGCAAACGCGGUUAUACAAUUCAUUUUAGUUAUUUUUUUUAAAAAGUAUUUAAUUUAUUUAUUGGGGCUAUUUAUUAUGUUUAUUAGGUGAAAUUUUAAUUUAGUGUUAGUUUUUGGUUUAUAUUAAAUAUGAAAAUCAUUUUUAUAGACUAGGAUUAGAUACCCUAUUAUUUUGAUUGUAAGGAUUUUUUUUGGUAUUAAUAGUUAUGGUCUUUAAAUUAAAAGAUUUUGGCGGUAAUUUAAUCUUUUUAGAGGAACCUGUUCUGUAAUUGAUAAUCCACGUUGGAUUUAACUUUAUUUUAGUUUGUAUAUCUCUGUCAUUAGAAUGUUUUAUUAGAACUUAUUUAUUUUCUUUGAUUAAUAUUAUAGGUAAUGUCAGGUCAAGGUGCAGCUAUAUUAAAGGUUGAAAUGGGUUACAUUUAAUGUAUUUUAUUGGAUUAUUUUAUUUAAAUUAUAUAUGAAAGAGGAUUUAAAAGUAAAUAUUAAUAUCUUUUAAUAUUGAUUAUGGCUCUAAAUUAUGCACAUAUCGCCCGUCACUCUCAUAAAAUUGAGAUAAGUCGUAACAAAGUAAUUCUACCGGAAGGUGGAGUUGGAU
rnacentral:ncRNA from 1 species